rnacentral:rRNA from 1 species
CCUACGGGUGGCAGCAGUGAGGAAUAUUGGUCAAUGGCCGUAACGCUGAACCAGCCAAGCCGCGUGAAGGAAGAAGGAUCUAUGGUUUGUAAACUUCUUUUAUAGGGGAAUAAAGGUAUCCACGUGUGGAUAUUUGCAUGUACCCUAUGAAUAAGCAUCGGCUAACUCCGUGCCAGCAGCCGCGGUAAUACGGAGGAUGCGAGCGUUAGCCGGAUUUAUUGGGUUUAAAGGGUGCGUAGGUUGUUUUUUAAGUCAGAGGUGGAAGUUUGUGGCACAACCAUAAAAUUGCCGUUGGGACUGGAAGACUUGAGUGUGGUUGAGGUAGGCGGGAUGCGUGGUGUAGCGGUGAAAUGCAUAGAUAUCACGCAGAACUCCGAUUGCGAAGGCAGCUUACUAAGCCAUAACUGACACUGAGGCACGAAAGCGUGGGGAUCAAACAGGAUUAGAUACCCGGGUAGUC